AGAAUAUUAUUCCCAAUUUAGUAUGGUUUAUUUAUUAAAUAACACCGUUGUGUCUUUCUCUUCCCUCCCAUGUCUCCACCUCCCCCUCUCCUCCAGUUGACGGCUCAGCGUCCCUUUGGGCUUUCCUCCCACUCAGGAUCAGACAGUGCUCCACAGUGCCUCCUGCUGGAGAGGCGUGGUGAAGCUGAAGCUGAGACUCAGCAGGUGCAGGAGCUCACAGCGGACAUCAGCUCCCCCCAGGACCACGUGCCCACCCAUCCAGGGACACCCACAGACCCACUGGCUGAGAUGCUGGUCAAUGGAAACAUCCACAAAAAACCUCAAAGCCCUGCGCCAAACCGUGUGUCUUCCCCUCACUCCCCCUGUUCUCCACACUCGCCUCCUCUGCACUCACCUUCCUCUCCUCGCUCCCCUCACUCUCCUCACUCUCCUCACUCUCCUCACUCUCCUCACUCUCCUCGCUCUCCUCGCAGCCCUGUGUUUGCCAAUGGCCACCUCUCCCCUACUGUUAACAGCCAAAGGGAUUUAAGUAUUGGAGCAUUCCCCAAGCUGAAAGACCCCGAGAACGAUUCUGGCCCGACUCCCUGGGCCACAGGGCCUCAGCUAAGGAGGGAGAGGAGCAGAGAAGUGAACCAUGCCGACGAUCAGACCAAUGGACCAGCCUCCUCCCCCCUGUCUGCCCCCCGUAAGGACCCCAGCCGGAGGCAAAGUCGCAUCCCAGUCCUGGAGCCCUCCAGCCUGCUGGAGCUCCCUCCUGCGGGGUCUGCCAAGGAGAAACUCCUGCAGAAGAAAGCUAACCACCAUGGCCCGGUCCCCUCUCCCACUGCCUCUCCAUCCCUCUCUGAUAGGCGUGGCCCCAUGGUGGCCUCCCUCGCCAGGGACCCGCUGUCCUCCACCUCUGACCGCUCUCAGGACGAGGACUCUCUUAUGGGCUCCCGCUCUGACCGCCAGGGAGACGACGCUCCUUCCCUCUCCUCCUCCUCCAGCCCUCUGUCCCGCAAGAGCCGGAUCCCUCGUCCCGUUCAUUCAGCUUCUUCUGCUGAGCAGCUGGCUGCCCAGUUCCUGCCGCGCCCGCCCCCUGGAAAGCCACCUUGCCGACCCACAGCGGAGGGCAGGCUUAGGCGAUAUCGAAUCCGAGCUGGCAGCAACAGUGACUCAGACCUCCUGACAUGCCUUGCUCAGCUGAUGCAUGGUUCCCGGGGCUCCCCCCUUCACCACCGCUCCUCAGCCCAGCAUGGGGGCUCCAGGAUGGGCAUCUGCAGCCUGACGAGCUCCCCCCACCACCACCGCAGCUCCAGCGCCUCCCCGCGCAGCUCCUCCUCCCUGCAGCGCUCCGUCAGCUCCUCGCCCUCCCGCCACGAGCACCGAGGUGGCGGGGGAGGGGGUUGCCUGGGACGCAGCCGCUCUCCUCCCAGCUUCUCUGGCUCGCCACCUCCCCGCCGCUUCUACACUCACCACCAGGAGACCUGCUGCAGCCGGCAGGCUCGCACGGGACCCUUCCACCUGUCCAGGGGGAAAAGCUGCAGCCGAGAUGGCAAGUGCUCCAGCAAGCUGGCCAGAUAGUUGCCCUCCAGGUUACGCUGCCACAGCAGAGAAUGGGAAGACUCUUAUAUCUUGAUAGUUUAGACUGCAGUCAGGAUAAAAGCCUGAGUCUUCCUGUAUAACUUUUCCCUUUUUACGCUGUCAGUCUGAACCUUACACGUCUCGCUGUUUCCUUCACCCCUUCUAUUUGCACACAGGGUUUGUCAUUCAUUUAUGUGCCCAGCUUUGUAGGAGUACUUUAGUAAUGCACUUCCAUAAAGUUGUCGGACUUGUGAGAGACAGAUUUGAAAAAGAAUGAUAAAAAAAAUCUGCGGCAAGAAACUUUUAGUCUCUUAAACUCCAAAAAUGCUGCUUCCUACAUUUCCCAUAAUGCAACUCAAUAGCAUAAGUGCCCACUUCUUUAAAAACCUUCUAGUUUAUAAUGAAGGUUUUCUGUUUAAAAGGUCUGAAGGCCAAUCUGACAUCCGCAGGUUGAAUAGCAUUCCUUAUAACGAGUAAACUGAGCCUCAUGUGUACAAUUGCUGGAGUAUCCCUUUAAGACGACUUAUUAGACGAGCCGUGUCGGGUCCUCAUUUUAUUUAUAUUAUUAUGUUGUAGUACAAAAUAAUGUAGCUGCAAAAUUAAACCGUGAUUUCCCAAUGCAGGCAGCACUAUAGUAUGUAAGUCCAUAGUUAGUUGGGCCAGUGGGCACAUAAAUAAAUCAGUUUCCUGUUUAUUCAUCUUCAUGCAUCCUGCACCACAAUAUAAUGAAACUUAUUUAUCUCCAGUAUUAAUGCACUUGGAUUACACUGAUGGAAUAUCAGUAUAGCUUAUCACAACUUAAUUAAAUAUUGGCCUGGGGUUGACUCAGUUAUCUCCUCUGCAUUUGGAGAUUGCAGGCAGGGUAUAAUAUUUACUUUAUGCUAUAUGUGAGUGCAUAAAGCCAAUAUUUGUGUACAGUUGUAUUUAUUGAGAUAUUUAUUUUGAUGCUUUAGCGAUGCUUAAGACUCCCACCCUCUUCUGUGUGAUAGUGGAUGUAUGGUUUUGUGUCACUCACAUUGGUGUUUAAAUGUUUCAAUCGAAAGGGAUAACUCCAAAGUGACCCUUCUUUAUACAAUCAAUCAUGUCAGGUGCGUGAGGACACACACCUUUUUGUGCCUACUGUGUUGCUUAGAGGGAAUCAAAAGAUGUUCCACUAGCUGAAGGGAUUACAAGUGCGGUAGUUUCUCAGUAGUAGCAGUAGUAAGCUUAAGCAACACAAGGUACAUUACUGAGUAAUGUUCAGACGCAGAUGUUUGUCUCAGCGUGUGCCUUGGCACUUUAGGCAGCUUGAGGAUUCACUUCGUUUGUAAAUUAGACAAAAAAGGGAGCCAAAAACAGACAGCGGUUAUAAGACGACCCUUUUCAGCAGUGUUCUUUUAAUGUAGAAAAGGUAGCAACACAAUUUGUUUGUAAAUCAAACAACAAUUUGAGCAACAGUUUGACUUGAGUAGCUUUUAUUUGUGAUGACAAAAAGGUGAAACCCGUCUUCAGCUGUCCUGCGUCUCGACACCAGGUCAGUGUUUGAGAAACAAAAUGUGAAUUUCAGACCUCAAACAACAUUUUGUCAAACGUUAUUGAAAAAUGGAGGCCAUAUGUAAAUAUAUUUCUCACACCAAAAUGAUGUUCCAUGCUUCCAUGUGCAAGAAUGUUUUUUUGUUUGUUUGUUUUGUGCCUCCUUGCGCUGGAGAAUGUCUUUUUUAUAUAAUGACAUACGGUAUGUUUGUGCACAAGGGAAAGGAAUCAGAGUAUUGUUUGUGUUUGAUUUAGUUAGGAUUCCUCACUGUAACGCUCCUCCACAACCUCCUCCCACUCCUCUGCUUGUAAGAUACUGUAAAAAAAAUAACUGCAGCUUCCUUCCAAUGCUACUCUUUGCAUGCUCAACAGAAAAACACAGAAUCAACUACUGAGUAAAAAGCUGCAUAGCACUUCCCACCUCACAGCAUUUUUCUUGUGAAGAUUUGAACCCAGCAGCAACUUUAUUACCUUUUGAAUCUAUAUAUUUUCUCUCACCCAUCUUCAAAUUCUUUCUACUAUUCCUCCCCCCCCACAUUAUAUAUAUAUAUGACUAGUUUUCUGCGCUUCCUGCACUUGCUGCACUUCCUGACUUGGGAUGAUUGUGUUGCUGGAAUAUGAUAGACUGUACUUUGUAUUAGUGCAACGAGCUGACGUGACACAAAAGAACUAACCAGAAAAAUAAGGAGAGUUUUAAGCACUUGUAUUGUGUAAUACAACACAUGAGUUUAAAGAUUUAAAGGGUUAGUUCAGACAUUUUGAAGUGGGGUUGUAUGAGGUAGUUCUCCAUAGUCGGUGUGUGUUAUCUACAGAAGAUGACGGUCGAGUUAUGGCAUGAGAAUGUAUCUUAGCCAAGGCCGACCGAGAAAUAUCAUUAUCAGUUUAAGUGUACGCUAUAGUUAGAAUAUUUUCACCACUUCACCUUGCUGUCAGAACUGAAGCCUUCUCUUCAAAGCCACCAGACUCCAUUGAAAAAAAACAGUAAUUUUGCCUUCUACUGUAGAUGAUACACUGACUAUGGUUCAGUACGUCAUACGUCCCACUUCAACAGCAGUCCUAACCUCUAUAACACAUGGCUGCACACAAAAAAAAUCACAUUGCCAAAUAUUUUGAUAGAUUCUUGCAGAUGUGGUUUGACGCGAGACGCGAGUGUGUAGAGAUUGAAUGGGCACAUUGCUUUGCAGAUGUAUAAAGUGUGCUGAUUCCUGCAGAUCUUGCAGAUACCCACGCUCGCCUCACAGAGCAGCUACGAUGACUCAUCCUGAAGGCAGACAGCGUUCAGUCAGUCAGUCGCCUUAAUGUCUCCUCUCUGCCCCUCUGUGCAUAGCGAGGGAUGACUGAGCCUUGUCUGUGUUGGAGAUCAUUCCACUAUUCGGCCAAGCCAAGCCUUCCUGUCACUUAUCCCUUUGUGUGGCACGUGCUACCAUGCCUGUCAGCGUGGUCAAUACAUCAACACUGAAAUCAAUGCUGUCAGACUCUUGAGCUUCAAACCGGAGAGCUCCAUGUUUUUCUGUGAGAACGCGCGGGGCCAUUUGUCGAUCGACUGGUGGAAAUGAAAAGCAUUUUCAGGGUGCAGUAUCCAAGGUGUGUUUGUUAGCGUGAUAACUGCGUGCCCUCCAACUGGGGCGUGCGAUUCCUACAUGUCGCCAGCAAUCAAUCUUUGAAUCCUCCCUCUUUCAACUCUUUCAGAUUUCAAGAUAUUUCAAGCUUUCAAAAAUUCAGAACGCUGUUGUGCAGACUUUUAAUAUAUACCUGUGAAAUAUAAAGUAAUUAUUUAAAUACAAAUAAUUAUUCUUAAACCGUAAUUUACAUGCUAACGGGCUUCAGUGGAAGGGAAGAACAGACACUAAACAGUGCUGCUGGUUUUAAAGGAUAAUCGUAUUUCUUCUCAUGCUUUUUUUAAAAUUAUGCACAUAAGUGGUGUGGCGUUGUAGUGCUAGUGUUACGAGAGAGAGAUUUUCUUUGUCGCUCUUUAAAGUGGCCUGCUCAUAGAAAGGUGUAUUUAUAGUAGAUUGCCAGGUGUUUGUGGUUACAGAUACCCAUAUGCCAGCAGAGCAAACCCAGAUGUUUUUGUUUUAUUUUGAAAGGUGAGAUGGAAACUAAUGAAAGCUUUGGUGUGCCCUGGUACACCUCUCAUGUCAUAACAUCGGAUUACUUGUUAGUAACUUAUAUAUACUUGACAGAAAUUAUUUAUUGUGACAUUUGCUAAUUUGCCCAUCCAUCAUUUUGACUUCAAUUGUCGGGAUUUUUUAAUGGUUGAUAUUUUUAUGUUGUAAUGUAUGUCAUGGUUUUGAAAUGUUACUGUACAGUUUCAAGGAAAGAAUGUAACAUGUGGGAGUUUUGCAUUGUAUAUAACUGUAAUUAUUUAUGUUUAUUCUAUCAUUUGUAUCAUAUCAAUGCCUUGUACAGUGUUUUUUUUUCCUUUCUUUUUUGAAAUUAUUUUGUAUUUUAUUUUUAUAAACUGGUUAUAAAUAAAAUACUCAUUCCGCAUGCAGACAUAAUCUUGUUAAAGGUUUCCUUUUUUAUUCCUGAAGUUUCAGCCUGUAGAAA
rnacentral:lncRNA from 1 species